rnacentral:rRNA from 1 species
GUAGGUGGCAAGCGUUGUCCGGAAUUAUUGGGCGUAAAGCGCGCGCAGGCGGUUCUUUAAGUCUGAUGUGAAAGCCCACGGCUCAACCGUGGAGGGUCAUUGGAAACUGGAGAACUUGAGUACAGAAGAGGAAAGCGGAAUUCCACGUGUAGCGGUGAAAUGCGUAGAGAUGUGGAGGAACACCAGUGGCGAAGGCGGCUUUCUGGUCUGUAACUGACGCUGAGGCGCGAAAGCGUGGGGAGCAAACAGGAUUAGAUACCCUGGUAGUCCACGCCGUAAACGAUGUGUGCUAAGUGUUAGGGGGGUUUCCGCCCCCCUUAGUGCUGCAGCUAACGCAUUAAGCACUCCGCCUGGGAGUACGGCCGCAAGGCUG